GAUCAUGGCUCAGGAUGAACGCUGGCGGCGUGCUUAACACAUGCAAGUCGAACGGGAAACAUUUCAUUGAGGCUUCGGCGGAUUUGGUCUGUUUCUAGUGGCGGACGGGUGAGUAACGCGUGGGUAACCUGCCUUAUACUGGGGGAUAACAGCCAGAAAUGGCUGCUAAUACCGCAUAAGCGCACGGGGCCGCAUGGUCCUGUGUGAAAAAACUCCGGUGGUAUAAGAUGGACCCGCGUUGGAUUAG
rnacentral:rRNA from 1 species